rnacentral:rRNA from 1 species
UACGGAAGGUGCAAGCGUUAAUCGGAAUUACUGGGCGUAAAGCGCGCGUAGGUGGUUUGUUAAGUUGGAUGUGAAAGCCCUGGGCUCAACCUAGGAACUGCAUCCAAAACUAACUCACUAGAGUACGAUAGAGGGAGGUAGAAUUCAUAGUGUAGCGGUGGAAUGCGUAGAUAUUGUGAAGAAUACCAGUGGCGAAGACGGCCUCCUGGAUCUGUACUGACACUGAGGUGCGAAAGCGUGGGUAGCGAACAGG